rnacentral:lncRNA from 1 species
GUUGAAAAUAUAUUUGGCUUAUUAAAUAAAAUAGAGUUGGGGUAAAAACACCUAUUGGGAUAUACUUUUGCUUCUCAAGUAGGAUCGUAACGGAAUAUUACGUGCGGACAGGAUAGUUUUCAUUGUACUUUUUUACCGCACAGAACGUAAUCUUUCCGCAAUCCUGAAUGAAGUCUGAAUAGUCUUUUUUUUUGUCGUGUGUUUAGAUCUUUUACUGCUUUCAUAAAAGUGUCGUGAAUCAUUCACCGUUUUUUUGAAGAUUGUUUGUUAUAAUUUUUUAAAUUUUUUAAAAUCGUAUCGGAUUUGUUGAUGUGUUUAUAUGACUGUUAGAAUUAUAUAUAGAAAAUAAAAAAAAAAAGAUUGUUAGGAUUAUAUGUAGAUUGUUAAAAUUUUUUUUUAAUUGUUAGGAUUUUAUGGAUUGAUUAUUAUGAUUUUUUUUUUAUUAUUAAGAUUGUAUGUGAUUUGUUGAAAUUUUUAUGUACUUAUUAGGAUUACUGAUGAAUAAUUUACUGUCAUGGUAGAAAAUUAUAAAGACGGUAAAUAAUAUACCAUUUUUAAGAGAAAAUUUUAUCGUGGCCGCUAGGUGGCA